AUUUCUACAUUCCACUCUUCCAGCCCAAACCUAAAGUAGUUAAGAAAAAACAACGUCAAUGCAAGAAGAUCAAAACAGCCCACACAAGGCGCACACAAAUCACACUGAAAAACUGACAAGAUCUGCCUGCGCUAACUUUCACAAUAACCUUUCAGGCAUUUAAAUACCAGCUCUUCUCAAGUGUGUACAGUACCUUGGAAACAUGGUUUCUGUGUUUAGCUGACAUUUGACAAAUUAUUUCCUGAAAUGCACCAGUUAUGAAGCAACAUUUCUUUUCCCUUGCAAAGUGCUUAACAUGCAAACCAUAAACAAAAGGAAGUGCAAACUUGGACAUUAACAGGACUCUCCACCCAGGUUUUUUUUUUUUGCCACAACCCUGAGAACAGAAAUCUUUCCAGUUUGGUGAAUACUGUAAUAAGUCUUGACACAAAUUUUAUGUUAAAAGGCAGGGUUAUUUCUUUGGGCUGGGUGGGGGGGGGAAUGGUUAAAAUGCUGUUAAUGAUUGAGUUCUGUUUUAGUUAGCACAAUAGUCAUCUGCUUAGAUAAGGGGUGAUUUGGAGCACAUUCCAUGGCUUGGUCCCCCUCCCCAAACAGUGGGAGUGGACAGAAGAGACAAGAUCAUGAAGGUGCAGAGAUAAUCCUGUAUUUCUACCUUGCCCAGGCAAGCCAGAAAGUCAACACCAGGAGGAAGACAGGGGAAAAAGACCCUCUCACCUCUGAUCAGGUGCUGCCGUCUUCGCAGGUGCAUCGCCUUGCCUUAACUGUACAACUGACAGCAACAGGCGAGGAGGAGCGUCACCAGCAGAGACAACUCCCUCUCCUGCCCCCCCCCUCUUUUUUUAAGGGAGUGCCUUCAAAGUGCAGCGUGCAAAGACGUCGUUCAGCCUAUGCGCGGAGAUAACAAUAAACGCAGGAUGGAGGUGGAGAAGUUAAAGCUAGUUAUUUCCCUACUGGACAUUUUUGACACUUGCAUAUUUUUGCAUUUAACCCUUUGCGAUAGAGGUAGCCGCUUUUUAAUUUAGUUUUGGGAUGAACCGAAUGAUUUCGAACGGGCAAAUACUCGCAUUCUGGAUAAUUGUUGGUAACCAAUUAAUAACUAUUUCCUGGGUCAAUUCUAUUUUGUUGUUAAAAACUGGCAUUAUAUAUGAAAUACUGAUACACACACACACACACACACACACACACACACACACAGACACAAAGAGAGAGAGAGAGAGAGAGAGAGAGAGAGAGAGAGAGAGAGAGAGAGAUGUGUGCCUGCACGCUUGACAGUCAGAUUUAUCUAAUUUUUUACAAUGCAUUUCUCUAUUUAGAAGAUUUCAAAUUUAUCUACUUGGAAGAUGCAUAUACCACCAGUAUACAUGCAUGUUUGUAUAUAUUUAUUUAAAGCAUGGGUAUCCAGCAUUUUGGUUUGCCUGGACCACAUUGAGUGAAGCAGAAUUAUCAUAAACCACAUAUAAAAUGUAUAAUAUAGUUAAAUCACAUAAUAAUGUUAAAAGUUUAUAAACUUGUGGAGCUGUAAUACUAGGUGUCCAGGCCAUAUGCAGCCUGUGGGCCGAGGGUAAGAGAUGCUUGAUUUAAAGUAUAUACAGGGCUGCCAAAAUAAAAAAAGUAAAAAUAUAA